rnacentral:ncRNA from 1 species
ACAGUACAAUCUGAGCAGGCGAUGAUUCCAGCAAAGAAUCAUGGGGCCGGGCCGUUCAUGCGGCAGCAGAUGAUAAUAAAGCUCAUCUGUGGGACAGU